rnacentral:hammerhead_ribozyme from 1 species
AUCCAGCUGACGAGUCCCAAAAUAAGACGAAACGUACGUCCUUGAU